rnacentral:rRNA from 1 species
AUGGGGCGCAGCAGGCGCGAAACCUCUGCAAUGCACGAAAGUGUGACAGGGGGAUUCCACGUGCAAGCUUUGCUUGCUUUUCCCAAGUCCAAAACGCCUGGGGAAUAAGGGCUGGGCAAGACCCGUGCCAGCCGCCGCGGUAACACGGGCAGCUCUAGUGGCGUUCGCGAAUAUUGGGCCUAAAGCGUAGGUAGCCGGCCAAGUAAGUUCCUGGUGAAAGCAUGCGACUUAAUCGUGUGAGUUGCCAGGAAAACUACUCGGCUUGGGACCGGAAGAGGUCGGAGGUAUUCCAGGGGUAGGGGUAAAAUCCUGUAAUCCUUGGAGGACCAUCGGUGGCGAAGGCGUCCGACUGGGACGGGUCCGACGGUGAGGUACGAAAGCUAGGGGAGCGACCCGGAUUAGAUACCCGGUUAGUCCUAGCCGUAAAUGAUGUCUGUUUGGUAUUGCACUCCUUACGAGGGAUUGCAGUGCCGUAGGGAAGCCGUUAAACAGACCGCCUGGGGAGUACGGCCGCAAGGCUGAAACUUAAAGGAAUUGGCGGGGGAGCAC